AUGCACGCUGGCGGCGUGCCUAAUACAUGCAAGUCGAACGCUUCACUUCGGUGAAGAGUGGCGAACGGGUGAGUAAUACAUAAGUAACCUGGCAUCUACAGGGGGAUAACUGAUGGAAACGUCAGCUAAGACCGCAUAGGUGUAGAGAUCGCAUGAACUCUAUAUGAAAAGUGCUACGGGACUGGUAGAUGAUGGACUUAUGGCGCAUUAGCUUGUUGGUAGGGUAACGGCCUACCAAGGCGACGAUGCGUAGCCGACCUGAGAGGGUGACCGGCCACACUGGGACUGAGACACGGCCCAGACUCCUACGGGAGGCAGCAGUAGGGAAUUUUCGGCAAUGGGGGAAACCCUGACCGAGCAACGCCGCGUGAAGGAAGAAGUAAUUCGUUAUGUAAACUUCUGUCAUAGAGGAAGAACGGUGGAUAUAGGGAAUGAUAUCCAAGUGACGGUACUCUAUAAGAAAGCCACGGCUAACUACGU
rnacentral:rRNA from 1 species